AAUAAGAUGAGAAGACCCUAUGGAGAUUUCAUUCAUUAAUGCAAACAGAAACUCAAAAAAAGGCUACAGGCCCUAGCCUACUAUCUCUGCAUUAAAAAUUUUGGUUGGGGUGCCGGGCGCAGCGGCUCAUGCCUGUAAUCCCAGCACUUUGGGAGGCUGAGGCGGGCAGAUCACGAGGUCAGGAGAUGGAGACCACUCUGGCCAACAUGCUGAAACCCUGUCUCUACUAAAAAUACAAAAAUUAGCUAGCUGGGUGUAGUGGUAUGCACCUGUAAUCCCAGCUACUCAGGAGGCUAAGGCAGGAGAAUGGCUUGAACCCGGGAAGCAGAGACAGCAGUGAGCCAAGAUCGCGCCACUGUACUCCAGACUGGCGACAGAGCCACACUCUGUCUUAAAAAAUAAAAAAAUAAACAAUAAAAAAUAAAAGAAAUUUAAAAUGUGGUUGCGGUGACCUCGGAGCACAAUUCAACCUCCAAACAACCUAAACUAAGACCGCACUAGUCUAAGCGAGUUAGCACACACUGACCCAAUAAUUUGAUCAACGGAAUAAGUUACCCUAGGGAUAACAAUGCAAUCCUAUUCUAGAGUCCAUAUCAACAAUAGGGUUUACAGCUUCGAUGCUGGAUCAGGACAUCCUAAUGGUGUAGCCGCUGUUAAGGCUUCGUUUGUUCAGUGAUUAAAGUCCUAUGUGAUCUCAGUUCAGAUGAGAGUAAUCCAGGUCGGUUUCUAUCUAUU
rnacentral:ncRNA from 1 species